AACUGCUGCUGACAAAAAUAAAAAUGAAGGGCAGUAAUUCCUUAAAAUGUUCAGAGUUAACUGCGAGUGCAGUUAUUAUAACCAAGUCCUCGAAACACUGUUAGAUACUGAUUUUCUUACAAUAUGUUACGUUUGAUAUGAAGUCUGUCCACAGAACUUCCUCACCAAUCACUCUGCAGCUGUAUAUAUGAGUUUUUUUUGGUGAU